rnacentral:rRNA from 1 species
UACGUAGGGGGCGAGCGUUGUCCGGAUUUAUUGGGCGUAAAGAGCUCGUAGGUGGUUUGGUAAGUCGGAUGUGAAAUCUCCAGGCUCAACCUGGAGGGGUCAUUCGAUACUGCCAUGACUAGAGUUCGGUAGGGGAGUGUGGAAUUCCUGGUGGAGCGGUGAAAUGCGCAGAUAUCGUCUGGAACGCCGAAGGUGAAAACAGCUCGCUGGGGCUGCGCUGACGCUGAGACACGAAAGCCAGGGGAGCGAACGGG